UAUACCCACUGGACAGUGCUGAUCUAGGCUGUUUAUAACUAUAUUUUUUCUCUUUCCCUUUCCCAGCCUCCGUUAAAGAUAAGGUUGACCAUGGGAUCCAAUUCUGGCCAAUGAGACUUGAGCAGAAUUCUGCUGGGAGUUUUCUGGGAGUUUUUUAAGAAAAUUUCAACUCCUGAACCAGAUGAAUUAUUACCUGAGACAGUUGUAUCCAGUGCUGUCUUCAGGGCGGAUUGGAUUGUGUGGAGCCAUAAUCUUGUUCUCAGAACCCCCUGACUGCCAGGAAAAGCUUGCGCAUCCCUGAUCUAGAUGGUUGUAUCAUGUGGGAGAGCAAGAUGAAAAAAUCGAGAGUUAUAAAGGCUGAGAGAUUUUCCCAGGAACACUGCAGAGCAGAUAUCCAAUCUACUGGUUCCUGGUCCGCUGCCUUUCCAUGGUGCCACACGGGCUGUCUGAGAAAGAUAGAUCUUCAACCAGCCAACCAGCCAGCCGGUCAGCUAAAGCAGACUGAGCACACCGAGGAUCCAGAGCAAUGUCCUAGUAACUGUAUCCAAGAUGUAUAUUGUUUUUCUCUUGGUAAAUCUAAAUGACUAGCUAAAUAAUUUCAUUUAUUUGGUAACUAUGUUGAUUAAAGAGUAUGCAAUAUAGCAAAUUCAUAAAAUAAUUGUCCUGAAAAGUUUGGAUAAAAAUCUACAUUUCAUAUUGUGCAGAGGCUAUUAUAAUUUUAAAAUAUCUUUCUUUGGAUUUUCAGUGGGAUUAUUAUUUUAAUUGUCUUAGAUGAAUAAAACAACUUAUUUACUUUGGACGCCCUGAAAGACUGUGAACAAGUAUAUAUAUACGCAAUACCAUGUGGUCUAGGUUUCUGUGUUAUAAAAGAAAGUUUUCAUUUAGUGAUCAGAAAGGCAACCCACUUUUGGUCAAAGAAAGGCAAAUAUGAACAGAUAUGAAAUGAUUAAAGUCAAGAAAAUGUUGUCUAAUCCUAUAUCAUAGAAAAGAAGAAAAAGAAAGAAAGAAAAAUUGGACAAAUAGUAGAAGUCUGAAAUCAAGGGUUUUGUCAAGUAUUUAUUCUGUAAUUUUAUGUGUCCGUAAUAUGCAGACAUUAACUUUGUUAUCCAUAGACAUCUGAAGCACAUUCUAACUCUGCUUUCUGCAGUUUCUGCAUUCUGGUGACUUUUUGCUCCCUAAGAGCUCCCCUUUCUUUUCCAUGAACGUGGUUUCAUAUCUGGUGUGGCAUUUGUGUUCCCUGGGCUCCACUCAGCCUACCAGACAUUCCACAAUAUUUAUGAAUAGUCUUAGUCAGUCCUAUUGCUUUUUCUGACAAAAACUCUUACUUCAAAGAUUAGAGAACUGAGUUUUAGAGUUGAAAAAGUAAGCUAGGCAUCCCCUGAUUAAGGUGGGUCCAAUUAAUGCAUAACUUUCAUGCCCAAGUAACCAAGAUAUGAAUACUGGAGAAGGAAUACCCUAAGGAUGGCGAAUAUUAUGGCGACCAUAUCCAUCCCCUCUUCUUUUUAGUGGUCGUGGUCCUUUGGUAUUCUUAGGAAACGUAAGAGAAACAGAGAUUAUUUUGGAGGAAAAAUCUUAGGAGAUUUUACUUAUCACAUACUGUGUACUAUACAGUAGAGUGAGACACCAACCUAGUUUAAGGCUGAUCCUAAGGCAAAUUUUCAUAAACAUUUUGAAUUUAUGCUUCCACUGUAGCAAAAGAAAGAUGUGUGAUUGGUACUUGCAACAAGAAUUCUUCAUGGAGAGACAUGAUAGUAUUAAUGCCACAGUUCAGGGAUAUUAGCGUUAAGUAGAUUUUUGUGGGAUGCUGCAAGGAUCUCCCUGUCAGGGAAAACAUUGAUGAAUCACAAAAGGGGGAUGUUGACAGUUUCUCAUGGACUGUAUUCUGAUGGAAGCACAAAGACUGAAAUGUUGAGGGGGUGCAAAAUUAUCAUAGUAGUGCUCUGGAAUUUAACGAAAGACAGUAUUGAUCAGAGGGGGAGGAGGUAGAGAUGAACAUUAGGCCUGAAUCCUUAGUUCCAGGACAGGACAUGUGCUGGGGACACUCACUUGGAUUUUGGGCCCAGCUGCAGAGGGUCCAAGAAAAGUAUGUCUUUUGGCCAUAGUAUCACACAUCAGGAAUUCCAAUCAAUUGGGUGGGGCACAUUGGCAGAUGUUAUGAUGAUCAACACUCUUCCCUCAUUUAUUUGCUUGUUUGUUUACUUAAUGUUUGUACCUGUGGAUUUCAGGAUUCUUGGAUUACUCAAAAGAACAUGAGAACUCUUUGUCUAGAAUGAGAUUUUCUUAACCACAUGAUAUUCAUCAUCUCUUGGGAGUCAGAUUAAAGCCCUAGUUCAAGCUAACAUAAAACUUUUACAAAGUAUUUUAAAGGUCUAGUGUUAUAGCCUUCUCCAACCUUCUGAUUUCAUCCCUCCUGUGGUUAUUAGGGCAGCCCAUUUAACAAAGGGAAAAAUCUUACCCAGUGACUUUGAAUUUUUCUUUGUUAUUUACAGACUUUCAAUAUCAUGAGACCCUGAGUUAUCAGAAGUUUAUGUAUCAGUUUCAUCAGAGACAAUGGGAGCUAGUGGACAUGUUCAGAAAUGACUGGAUGGGGCAACAGAAACAACAAAGGAACACGGGGAAGUCCCUAUCUGGCCAUUCUUAGCUCUCUACCUUGAUGUGAUAGCAAAUUCCUAGCAGAGAGUUGGAGGAGGGCAGUCAAUUCUCUGCUUGUUUUGAAUAUUGG